GCUCCGCCUCCCCGCCCCAGCGCGGCCCGGCCUGCCCUCGCGUGAUGGCGGCCGCCGCCGAGGAGCCGUUCCCCUUCCACGGCCUCCUGCCCAAGAAGGAGACCGGCGCCGCCGCCUUCCUCGCCCGCUUCCCCGACUUCGACGGCCGGGGGGUGCUGCUGGCCGUGCUCGACACCGGCGUGGACCCGGGGGCGCCGGGCAUGCAGAUUACGACUGAUGGGAAGCCCAAGAUAGUUGAUAUAAUUGAUACAACAGGCAGUGGUGAUGUAACUACAUGUACCAUUGUAGAACCUAAAGAUGGGGAAAUUAUUGGUCUUUCUGGAAGAUCCUUAAAGAUUCCAGCAAACUGGGUAAACCCUUCAGGCAAAUAUCACAUUGGCAUAAAAAAUGGUUAUGACAUUUAUCCUAAAGCUCUUAAAGAGAGGAUUCAGAAGGAACGCAAGGAAAAGCUCUGGGAUCCUCUUCACAGGCUGGCUCUAGCAGAGGCCUGCAGGAAGCAAGAGGAAUUUGAUGCUGCUCAUAGUUCUCCCUCCCAAGUAAAUAAGCUAAUAAAGGAGGAACUUCAAAAUCAAGUGGAACUGUUGAAUUCUUUUGAGAAAAAAUAUAGUGAUCCUGGCCCGGUAUAUGAUUGUUUAGUAUGGAACGAUGGUGAGACCUGGAGAGCUUGCAUAGAUACAACUGAGAGUGGUGACUUAACCAGCUGUACAGUGUUGAGAACCUACAAAGAGGCUCAGGAAUAUGGAUCUUUUGGAACAUCUGAAAUGUUAAAUUAUUCCGUGAAUAUAUAUGAUGAUGGAAACCUUCUUUCCAUUGUGACAAGUGGAGGAGCACAUGGAACACAUGUGGCUAGUAUCGCAGCUGGGUACUUUCCAGAAGAACCAGAACGAAAUGGUGUGGCUCCUGGAGCUCAGAUUCUUGCAAUCAAGAUUGGUGAUACAAGACUAAGUACUAUGGAAACUGGCACUGGUCUAAUAAGAGCUAUGAUAGAAGCAAUAAAAUACAAAUGCGAUCUUGUCAACUAUAGCUAUGGAGAGGCAACACAUUGGCCAAAUUCUGGGAGAAUUUGUGAAGUAAUUAAUGAAGCAGUGUGGAAACACAACGUAAUCUAUGUUUCAAGUGCAGGAAAUAAUGGCCCUUGCCUUUCUACAGUCGGAUGUCCUGGUGGCACUACAUCUAGUGUAAUAGGUGUUGGUGCCUAUGUGUCACCUGAUAUGAUGGUUGCUGAAUAUUCUUUGAGAGAAAAACUACCAGCAAAUCAAUAUACUUGGUCAUCCAGAGGGCCCAGCACUGAUGGAGCCCUUGGAGUAAGUAUCAGUGCCCCUGGAGGUGCUAUUGCUUCUGUUCCAAACUGGACUCUACGAGGAACACAACUCAUGAAUGGCACAUCCAUGUCUUCUCCCAAUGCAUGUGGAGGCAUUGCAUUAGUACUGUCAGGACUCAAAGCUAAUGAUAUUCAUUACACUGUUCAUUCUGUCAGAAGAGCCUUAGAAAACACUGCAGUGAAAGCUGAAAACAUAGAAGUAUUUGCACAAGGACAUGGUAUUAUUCAGGUUGAUAAAGCCUAUGACUACCUCAUUCAGAAUUCAUCAUUCACAAGUAACAUAGGCUUUACUGUUACUGUUGGAAGCAAUCGUGGAAUCUACCUCAGAGACCCUGCCCAGAUAGCUGCACCUUCUGAUCACGGGGUUGGCAUAGAGCCUGUCUUUCCUGAGAAUACAGAUAACACUGAAAGAAUAUCUCUCCAGCUUCAUUUAGCUUUAACUUCAAAUGCACCAUGGGUCCAGUGCCCUACUCAUUUAGAGCUUAUGAACCAGUGUCGACACAUUAACAUCCGUGUGGAUCCACGUGGCCUGAGAGAAGGAGUGCAUUAUACAGAGGUGUGUGGAUAUGAUAUAGCAAUGCCUAAUGCAGGUCCUCUGUUCAGAGUUCCAAUAACAGUUGUCAUACCGACAAGAGUAGAUGAAUCAUCAAGCUAUGACCUUGCGUAUACAGAUGUUCAUUUUAAACCUGGUCAAAUCCGAAGGCACUUCAUUGAUGUUCCCCAGGGAGCUACAUGGGCUGAAGUGACAGUAUGUUCAUGUUCAUCUGAUGUGACUGCAAAGUUUGUGCUUCAUGCUGUUCAGCUAGUGAAACAAAAAGCAUAUAGAAGUCAUGAGUUCUAUAAAUUUUCAUCCUUACCUGAAAAAGGAUCAGUGACUGAAGCAUUUCCUGUCUUAGCUGGAAAAACCAUUGAAUUUUGUGUUGCUCGGUGGUGGGCAAGCCUUAGCGAUGUUAGCAUUAAUUACACAAUUUCUUUUCAUGGUAUACUUUGUGCUACUCCUCAGCUAAACAUGCACGCUUCAGAAGGCAUCGUACGAUUUGAUGUUCAGUCCAUGCUGAAGUAUGAAGAUAUUGCUCCAUGCAUAAAUCUGAAAAGCUGGGUUCAAACUCUCAGACCAGUGAGUGCAAAAAUAAAACCUUUAGGAUCCAGAGAUAUUUUACCAAAUAACCGUCAACUGUAUGAGAUGAUCUUGACCUAUAACUUCCAUCAGCCAAAGAGUGGAGAAGUGACUCCAAGCUGUCCACUUCUUUGUGAAUUGUUGUAUGAAUCUGAAUUUGACAGUCAGCUGUGGAUUAUUUUUGACCAGAACAAAAGACAGAUGGGUUCAGGAGAUGCCUAUCCGCACCAGUAUUCUGUGAAACUGGAAAAAGGAGAUUACACUAUUCGGUUACAAAUUCGUCAUGAACAGAACAAUGAACUGGAUCGCAUCAAAGACCUUCCAUUUAUUGUUUCUCACAGGUUGUCUAGUACCUUGAGCUUAGAUAUUUAUGAAAACCAUAGCCUUGCUCUCUUAGGGAAGAAGAAAUCCAACAGUUUGACAUUACCACCAAAACACAGUCAGCCAUUCUUUGUUACGUCUCUGCCUGAUGACAAAAUACCAAAAGGAGCAGGACCAGGAUGUUAUCUUGCAGGAGCUCUUACAUUGUCUAAAACAGAACUUGGAAAGAAAGCUGGGCAGUCUGCAGCAAAGCGACAAGGAAAAUUUAAAAAGGAUGUCCUUACAGUUCAUUAUCAUCUGAUACCAUCACCAUCAAAGAGUAAAAAUGGCAGCAAAGAAAAAGAAAGAGAACAGGAAAAAGAAAAAGAUGUAAAAGAAGAAUUUGCUGAAGCUUUACGAGAUCUAAAAAUACAAUGGAUGACCAAGCUGGAUACCCCUGACAUGUACAAUGAGUUGAAAGAAGCCUUUCCUAAUCAUCUUCCUCUGUAUGUUGCAAGACUUCAUCAGCUGGAUUCUGAAAAGGAACGUAUGAAAAGACUGGAUGAAAUUGUUGAAGCUGCAAAUACUGUCAUCUCUCAUAUUGAUCAGACAGCAUUAGCAGUUUAUUUUGCCAUGAAGACUGAUCCCAGACCUGAUGCAACUACUAUAAAAAAUGAAAUGGAAAAACAGAAGAGUACUUUAGUGGACGCACUUUGUCGAAAAGGAAGUGCACUGGCUGACCAGCUUCUUCAUCUGCAGGCCCAAGAUGGGGCUGCUUCCAGUGAUACUGAAGGCAAAGAUGAAGAUCAUGAGAGCUGCUCAGAAGCCUUGACAGAAACAUUCUGGGAAACAACAAAAUGGACUGAUCUUUUUGACAGUAAGGAAGCCCUGUUACGAAAGAAAUGCUGUCAAGUGGCUUUCCUCCUGCCUUUAUCACUGAUGUUCAAUAGCCAUUCAAAACUUACAGGGUCAGGUUUUAACUUUUGCCUAUAAGCAUGCAUUGGUAAACAAAAUGUAUGGCAGAGGUCUCAAGUUUGCAACAAAACUUGCAGAAGAAAAGCCAACGAAAGACAACUUGAAGAACUGCAUUCAGCUAAUGAAGUUACUUGGGUGGACUCAUUGUGCAACUUUCACUGAAAACUGGCUUCCUGUCAUGUAUCCACCAGAUUAUUGUGUAUUCUAGAAAAGUGACAAUUGUAAACCUAAAGCGGUUCUAUACGGGCAGGAUAUGAAAAGAUAAGUUUGACUUUCUAUUGGAACGCAUGUUUUCAUUGCUGAAUGCUGAUUAUUAAAUUGUGUGUAUUUAUCAGUAAAGGCACCUGGGUACAGCUUAAUACCUGUUAACCUAACUCCAGUCAUCAGGGAGUUUCCUUAUUGUGCAUCCCAUUGCUGGCAAUGGAUGUGCCAGAACUGCCAACACGAAGGAUUUGGAAUUUGGAAUCAGGCUGAAAAAGCUUACUGCAUGCACGUUAGGUUCUUAACUGUUAAUUUUAACUGCAAACCUGUAAAAGCUCUGUAUUUUUUACAGUAAAAUGAAUUUUAAUGUUUGAUCUUAAUUUCAUUUCCAAUUGUAUGAAGGCCUUAAAGCUACUUCAGGAGUAGCUAAAAACUUAUUUAUUAGACUAAAGUAAUGGGACAUCAUUACCUGUAUUGUUUGCAAGAGUUUACAUUUGUGGGUUUUUUGUUUGUUUUUUAAGAAAAAUUCAACCUCUCAAACUGUUACAACAUGUAACUAAGAAUUGCUGAUUCAUAGGUGCUCUUGUAAAUUUUCAUUUUGGGGUGAUUUCAGGCAAACUCAAAAAUCCACGUGAAGCUGAGUAUCAGGACAGGCUGAUACGUGUAUAAAAGUGCCAGACAGUUAAAAUCUUAAUCAGGUAUUGUAAAGCUAUACAUAUAUGUUUAAUAAUGUUAAAAGUGUAAGACAACAGAAUAAAUGUGCAAGACUGAAAAUCAAAAAACACCAUGUGCAUUCUGAUACUUUAAAAGAUUAUUUUAUAAUUAAUAAAAACAAAUAAUGAAGCUAAAA